GGGCGACGGCGUGCCUUGUGCAUAAUGAGCCUACGAGUUACUUUUACCGGCAAGGUUAAGCACUUAUGGUGCGCAGCCGUAGCGAAAGCGAGUCUGAACAGGGCGCCAUAGUCGGUAGUAGUAGACGCGAAACCGUGCGAUCUACCCAUGGGCAGGUUGAAGCUGUGGUAACACAUAGUGGAGGACCGAACCCGUUGACGUUGAAAAGUCUUGGGAUGACCUGUGGGUAGGGGUGAAAGGCCAAUCAAACUCGGAAAUAGCUCGUACUCCCCGAAAUGCAUUUAGGUGCAGCGUUCUGAUAGUUAUAUAGAGGUAGAGCUACUGAUUGGAUGCGGGGGCUUCACCGCCUACCAAUUCCUGACAAACUCCGAAUGCUAUAUAAUGUUUCAGGGCAGUGAGGGCAUGGGUGCUAAGGUCCAUGUCCGAGAGGGAAAGAACCCGGACCAUCAGCUAAGGUCCCCAAAUAUGUGCUAAGUUGACAAAACGCGGUGGGACUGCACAGACAGCCAGGAUGUUGGCUUGGAAGCAGCCAUUCAUUUAAAGAGUGCGUAACAGCUCACUAGUCGAGCGA
rnacentral:rRNA from 1 species